rnacentral:rRNA from 1 species
GUCCAUGCCCUAAACGAUGAUCACUUGGUGUCGGCCGCAAGGUCGGUGCCAGAGCUAACGCGUUAAGUGAUCCACCUGGGGAGUACGCUCGCAAGGGUGAAACUCAAAGGAAUUGACGGGGGCCCGCACAAGCAGUGGAGCAUGUGGUUCAAUUCGAUGCAACGCGAAGAACCUUACCUAGGCUUGAAAGGCCGUCUAAACCCGUGAAAGCGGGCUACCCGCAAGGGGGGCGGUACAGGUGCUGCAUGGCUGUCGU